GACGAACGCUGGCGGCGUGCCUAAUACAUGCAAGUCGAGCGAAGUUUUUCUGGUGCUUGCACUAGAAAAACUUAGCGGCGAACGGGUGAGUAACACGUAAAGAACCUGCCUCAUAGACUGGGACAACUAUUGGAAACGAUAGCUAAUACCGGAUAACAGUAUUUCUCGCAUGAGAGAUAUUUAAAAGUUGGUUAUGCUAACACUAUGAGAUGGCUUUGCGGUGCAUUAGCUAGUUGGUGGGGUAAAGGCCCACCAAGGCGACGAUGCAUAGCCGACCUGAGAGGGUGAUCGGCCACACUGGGACUGAGACACGGCCCAGACUCCUACGGGAGGCAGCAGUAGGGUAUCUUCCGCAAUGGGCGAAAGCCUGACGGAGCAACGCCGCGUGAGUGAAGAAGGAUUUCGGUUCGUAAAGCUCUGUUGUUAGGGAAGAAUGGAUAUGUAGUAACUAUACAUGUAAGAGACGGUACCUAACCAGAAAGCCACGGCUAACUACGU
rnacentral:rRNA from 1 species